AUGUCUGAAAGAGUUUGGGAGGACAAUAGGAGUGACAGGCACGCUAGACAGCCAUGCUUGGAAUUAGUUGUCUGGAGCUCCGUGAAAGCUGCUUCCCACUGUUUUAGAGCGUGCAGGAGACCGAUAGUUCUUUGCAGGUGUGACCUUGAGCUCUGUUGGAUUUCCUGUGAAGAAAAUUCCAAGGAAUGGAUGAAUGCCUGGAAACUUACUGCUGGAAGUCACAGGGCAGUGACAGAAAAAUACCAUAUCAUUGGAAGACUUGACCCAUGGGAUCUAUAAAUUCCUAGGGAAGCUCCUUACUAAAAUUUGUUUGGUUUCUAUGGAAUCCAACAAAAAAAGAAAUAGCAAAACAUGUGGGUUGUCCCCUCUUCGGCCCUGAGCCUGGGAGAAUAUGAUGAUAUCUGAAAACAAGGCUUCCUUCAGGUGUCCAGGAGGGGCUAACAUUGCCUACUUGUAUCCCAUGGGAGCAGACACUCCCAGAAUGCUGCCAUUUGGAUUCUCCAAGGAUCGUAUGUAAAACCAAUCAGCUAAGAAAGAAAACAACAUCCCAUCUAAGGGGAUUCAGCAGCUAGAAAGAAAAUGAGUAUGACAAACAAACUAGAUACAUGACCAGCAAAGCAGGGCUUUGAAAGGAGACGAAACACAAUGUGCGUGUGUGCAUGUGUGUGUGUGUGUGUGUGUGUGUGUGAAUAACAAAAUUCAAGUUCUGGAUACAAUUUUUAGAGCUACACACCUGACUUUCCAACUAAACUUUUUAUUAGAUAUCAAAGAAGCUGGUCACUGUUGAGACAAAAGAUCAAGUGCAAGAUAUAUUUUGAGGCACAGGGCAAAAAUAUAAAGAAUCAGAAAAUAAUAAGAGACUUGAGGAUUUAAUACAAACAACUGAAUAGCUAAAAACAAGAACUACAGCAGAAAAAGAGGAAAAGGUUUAAAAAAGAGGCAAUAUAUUAUUUACUCUGAGCAGAAGAAAACUGGAAAUCUGCUGUAAGCAGAAUUUAUUGAAUUUUCUCAUCAUAGUCUUAAAAGAGCAUUACCCCAAUAGGUCUUUGUUUACUAAAAGAAGAUUUGUUGAAAGAAUCAAACAACUGAUGGAGGCCAAUGAAAAGAAUACAUGAGGAUCAGUGAUACUUGAUACACACGUUCACACUCACAGACGUCAGAUGGGAAAAGGCUGGCUGGCAAUGGUGCCAACAGCGUGCUGUAAGGGCUCUUGAAGUAGAAUAAAC
rnacentral:lncRNA from 1 species